rnacentral:lncRNA from 1 species
CAAAACUAUUACCAACCUUAUCAUUUUUAUUUCACCCAUUUAUCUUGAUCAAACCCACCUCAUACAAAUUUUUAAAAAUGCAGCCUGAGCACUAUAUUAUACAACAAAUUACUUAUACAUAUAUAAAACAUCCACACAUUUACAAUCACAUGUAAUCACAUGUACGGUCCACAUUGUCUAUACUCAUAUAAUAAUAUAGUACCUGGGCUCACUCUUCAGAAAGCAUUUCUUUAUUUUCUGCAUUUUUUGUUUAAUUAUCACCAUCCAUAGUAAUAUGCAUGUAAAAAUAAAUCACAGGUGUUUGAACAACUGAACUGAACUUUAUGCUAAUGGGAAAAUAAUCCCCAAAAAUUUUCUUAGGAAAAAAAUAUUGCAUUGAGUUGACCUAAUAUCACAUCAGUGUGAUAAAGUUUCUUUUUUUCUCCCUCUUUCAUAUUUAAGCGCCCUUCUAAUUACGUGAGGCUUCUGCUCAUGAUAAAGAUAAUUUAUCAUGAAGUCAGCUGCUUGUUAACCUUGACACUAUCUAUAUCUUAAUUUUCCUUUGUCACAUUACCUAAGAUAUUCACAGAUUCUGGAGUUUAGGAUAUGAACAUUGUUGUAUGUGGGCAGCAAGCCACCCAGGUGCCGAGGCAAGAGACCAAGGACACAAGCUGUUCCAGUAUAAUAAAACAUAAAAC